rnacentral:lncRNA from 1 species
UGAGUCUGGAGCAGAAAUAAAGCAGAUGAGAAAACCGAGGCUAAGAGAAGUUAAAUAGCUUGCCUGUGGAUACACAGCAAGGAAACACAACACCUAGACUAAAAUCUAGGCCUGUCUGACCUCAAAGCUUUCUUUCUUUGUGCCCAAGACCCUGGAAUUCAGAUGUCCUUGUUGUCAAAGACUGUACCAUUCAUGCACAUAUUGGCUUCUUCAGAAUGGCUUUCCAUGUUCGCCUCUUCAACAUCAAGAACCUUUAUUGGGGUCUGUCAUUUGUUUGGCCUAUACAAGGAUGGAUCUCUGUCUACUGAUUACUUGACAGUGCUGAUUUAUGGCCUGCUCAUUGCAUCUUCGAUAUGCCACAUGAGAAAUAAGUUAUCCCUCUUUCUCAUUAACUCUCCACAAACUUCCCUGGAGGAAGACAUUCACAGUCAGUAGGCUCAAAAGUAACAAUAAAAAGUCCAACCCAUCAUGUGGAUGAUGAAACAAAAGCUUAGAAAAGUUAAUUUGCCAAAGGGCUCAAAGCUAAAUGGUAGAUACAAGACUGAGACCCAGAUCUCUCUGGCUGCAAAGGCUUUGUUCUUUCCACUGUACAAUACUUUCUUCCCAAAGGAAUAUAUUUGUCACCUCAAAUGUGGUUCAGCUUCGUAAGGCUUGAGAGUGCACAUUUUCCUUUGUCAAAGAUGAAGAACCAAUUUUGAUACUUCAGAGAACAGUAUCAAAGAAAAUUGCUCCCAGAAGUCCAUUCCGAGCAAUAUUUUCCCCACACGCUGCCAACUGAUGCUGAGACAGCUGCACAGGCUUUCCUGAGAAAUGUUAUCAUCAAGGCUGCAUUAUAAUGCAAAAUACACCCGGACACCAAGAUGUAAUUCCACCUUUGAACAUUUAGAACGUUGGCUUACUAGUCCAUUGUGCUUUUGGUUUUACUGGGGGAAAGGGAAGGGGAAG